ACCCUAGUCUACAACCUGAACAUACCUGAUCUCAUUGGAUCUCAGAAGCUAGCAGGAUCAGGCCUGCUUAGAACUUGGAUGGGAGAAAGGGGUC
rnacentral:rRNA from 1 species